rnacentral:rRNA from 1 species
GACGAACGCUGGCGGCGUGCUUAACACAUGCAAGUCGAACGAAGUGGCGCACGGGUGAGUAAUACGUGAGUAACCUGCCCUCCUUUUUGGGAUAAGCCUUGGAAACGGGGUCUAAUACCGCAUACAGGGGGUUUGGCUCGCGGCCUAUCAGCUUGUUGGUGGGGUGAUGGCCUACCAAGGCGGUGCCGGGUAGCCGGCCUUAGCGGGUGACCGGCCAAAGUGGGACGGAGAUACGGCCCAGACUGCGACGGUAGGCAGCAGUGGGGGAUAUUGCACAAUGGGCGAAAGCCUGAUGCAGCGACGCCGCGUGGGGGAUGAAGGCUUGCGGGUUGUAAACCUCUUUCGCGAUCGAACGGGUAGGUUGAGAAGAAGCGACGGCUAACUACGUGCCAGCCGCCGCGGUAAUUC